UACGAAAGGGGCUAGCGUUAUUCGGUCAAAUUGGGCGUAAAGAAUUUUUAGGCAGUUUUUUGUACGUUGAAAAUUAAAUGUCAGAGCAAAGCUUUGGAAUAUUUUUCAAAACCAAAUUUCUGGAGUAGUUUACGGGUUGAUAGUAUUUCUUCAAUAGGGUUCAAAUCUGCUAAUAGAAGAAGGAGGUCCAAGGGUAAAGACAAUCAACUAGUUUCUUACUGACGCUGAAGAAUUAAAGUAUGGGGAGCAAACAGG
rnacentral:rRNA from 1 species